UAGCUAGUAUACUUUCAUCUAAACAACACUUUGACUAUACUUCACCAUGCCAUGCUAAGAUUACAAGUAAAGCAAAGAUAAUAAACUAAAAAAUAAAGGACAUAAUUUUCUAAUACUUGCAUCAGCAAAAAUGUCACUGCCAUCUUCAGAAUCUCACCAUGGCUAGCUGCCUAAAAUGAUCUUGAAAUCGUGAUUUUUCUUGAAGCUCUACCUCAUCACCACCAUGUCGAUACCUCAUCUCCACCAUCCUUUUUACUCUUCUGUUAUGAAAUUUAAAAAGUAGGAUUUACGGUUAUCGUGUAAGAUUUAUACCUCAUCACCACCAUGUCAACACCUCAUCUCCACCAUCCUUUCUACUCUUCACUCUUCUGAGAUCUAUAAUCUAUGGUUGUGUAAGUUUGGCCACCUCUAACCCUUUUGCUAUUCGUUUCUAUCAUUCAAAUCCAUACUUAUUAAUGGGUCAGAAUCAGUUAUUUAAUCUGUCCGGUAUGCUUUUCGUCACUGGACUGAACAUAUCGCGUGUAGCUGAUUUAUUUUAAAAAAGACAUUGUAAAACUUGAAUAUAUAUUUCUAUCUAAAGUUUAAAAAUAUGGUCUCAGAUAUAGAAAGUUCGACGGUCAUCAUUCACCCACACAAAAAGAUCUACAUUUUAAAUCUCAAUGUACACAUCUUCAGCUGCAACAUAAGCUAAACAUUUUAAUCCUAAGGUUAAUUUUGUAAUUUCUUAAUAGUAUGAUUCAUUUGACUAAAAGAUCUACUAUUAACUAGAAGGAUUUAAUGGUUGUAUUGGAACUAAAAAUUAUAAAAAUUAACUAAUUAAUUUUAGUAAAAUUUAGGGAUUCUACAAUAAUUUACCAAAAAAAAUAUUAUUUCUAUGUAUCUUUGAUGUAAAAAUAUUAAGUUAACAUACCUAUUGAGAUCCGUAUUUGUAGGAAUAUUUUCAAAUUUUCUGAUAACUGUGUCAACUGUCAUUUAAGUGCAUAUUCCAGCACAAGUUUGACGAAAGAAAUACUGGAAAGUUCAUUAGAUAGACAUUUAAAGAUAACAUAUCUUCAUAUAAAAGUUUCACAAACACACCAGAAUUUAUUCGCAUGCAUACAUAUGCUUUCAUAGCAACUUCACAUAUAUACUUAAUUUCUCAGGCCUUUCGGCAUACAUCUCCAUCGCAGAUCCAUCCCUCCUUUUCCUUCCCAGCCUUGCUAUUUUCCUCUUUAUUUAAAGCACACUUAGGGUGAAGAUCAAAGUCGCAUGCCCUACAAUAGAAAGACAACCCAUACCCCAUCUUCCUACAUCCAUUGCACACAAAUCCACUGCGGUUUGUGCGAACAAGCUCGUGCUCAGGAUGAAGUUCAUGCUUCACUUUCUCAGGCCACCGUUUUGCUGUUUCCUCCAACUUUUCCUCCAACUUUUCUUCCAGUUGCUUCAGAUGAUCUUCAGUGAAUGGAUAUGCAUCUGCCCCAUAAGCUGCUAUGUGUUCUCUAGCUUCCCUGGUGAUUGUCUGCCCUGUAGGACUAAUAGCUAUGGCUGCA
rnacentral:lncRNA from 1 species